CGCCGGGUGCACUGCCUUCGCCACCGUGGAUGACGCCAGCAAUGGAUCCUGUGUCACCCAAGGUGGAACUGCCAAAGAAUAACGUGCCACAGCCCACGAAUCCAUUAAAGAGCAUCAAAUGGUCCAAGCUGCCGGAUGCCAAGCUCCAGGGCACCGUCGGGAGCGAGCUUGACGAGAGCAAGCUGUAUAAAUGGAUUUGGAGUCGAUAAACAAGCUCUUGUCGGCUUAUCAAAAGAAUGGGGUAUCGGCCACCGAUAGCUCCGAUGAGGAUCUGCGGG